GGGGUAUAGUGACACAGUAACAGAGGGAUUGAAGGCCCUGCUCAGUGAGUUUACAUGUUAGAGGGAGUGGGGUAUAGUGACACAGUAACAGAGGGAUUGAGGGCCCUGCUCAGUGAGCUUACAUGUUAGAGGGAGUGGGGUAUAGUGACACAGUAACAGAGGGAUUGAGAGCCUGCUCAGUGAGUUUACAUGUUAGAGGGAGUGGGGUAUAGUGACACAGUAACAGAGGGAUUGAGG